GAAAAUUGAGAUAAUAAAACUUGCGACAAAAUAAAUAAAUAAUAUUCAAACAUUUCCUACGCUAUAAAUAAGUCGGAGUCCAAAACUUAUGUUUUAUUUCUUCUUUCAACAGUUUCCCGCCGAAGUUCAGUUGGGACUAAGAGCGAGGAACCCUAACCCCUAGAGAUUCAAUGCAAUCCGAGUUCCUUAAUUUAUCUGCGAUCUUCGGUUUGAUGCAUUUUUUCUCCAUUUCUUGUCUUGCUGCGUUCUGUAUGGCACGGGAAAAUCCACCGUUGCCAUCAAUCGCGCCAAAUUUCAUCUCUCGAUUAAUUUUCUUGUUCUGCCGCUUUCCGACACUGAAGCCUUAACUCCUAGAGAUUAAUCAUGCAAUCUGAGUUUUCGAUUACCUUCGAUCUUUGUUUUCGAUGCUUUUUUGUUCUCUAAUGCUUCGAUUGCUGCCAAGAGCAUAGAGGUUUAGUCAUUUUUCUUAUUAUGGAGAACUCUGCAGCAGAGGAUCUCGUAAAUCCUGAGUCAUGGAAGGUCGCUGACUCUCGAUCGUUCAUGGACGGUGCUGUUCUCUCGAUCGUUCGAUUCCUGGCAAGAAUUUGACAAGUCUAUUCUUCAGGUUGAUCGGUUGCUUCGUGAGGCUUUUCAGAAUCCUUGCAAACGCUUAUCGAGUGCUCAUUGCCCUGAAGAUAUAAGGUCUGGCCCUCCAUAGAGUUAUUUGGCCUUUUAGUUUAAAGGUUUGAUGCACACUACACAUCAGCCAUUUUUCUGCAUUCCUCUCGGUAUCUUUUCCAGCAGUCUGAAAUGCCUUUUAUUCCUCGUCACGAGCAAGUUCAUCAUCCCCUUUCUCGUUGAAAGGUUGGAAGGUGUACGAUAGCAAAAAUCCAUCCAUCUCACAUCGCCUUGGGCAUGCAACCCAAAAAUAUCGAAAGACAACUUGCUUGAAGAAAACUCUUUUAGAGCCAGGUACAAGUCAAGUCCCUUCGAUUCGACAACAAAAGUUGGUUAUAAAAUAGUUUUUUGGUCAGCUUUCCCAUUCUUUCAGACGUGGCAGUGUCUAAUAUGAGGUUCCUUCUGCCUCAGACAGCUUCGAGGUUCCCAUUGAUUAUAGAGGAUGAAACUACUAAACUUGCUUAUGUUCUUGGAGUGCUCUUUCUAUAAAAAAGAUUGAGUAGGAAAAACAAUUGGUUUCAAUCGAGAUUUCCCUGACUUCUUAGGCACAUGAGGAAUUGGCCUAACACCUUUUCGAUCGAAAUCCCAAUCUUUUGGAUUAGCUUUGUCUCUAUAAGGGCAUCGGCCAAGCCUACACCGUUUCGUUUAAUGCUUAUUCUCCUCAAAUGGUGGGGCCGAGCAUAGAGAACUGAGAAUGAUCGAGAAUGUCGAUGGAUUGAAAGUUGCACCAACAAGCAGAGCUAUACAAUCUCUUUUGCAUGUUUUUAUUAAAUUUUGUACUUCUCAAGCAUUUGAUUGAUUUUUAAAUUGAAAAACAACCCCAA